UUUUUAUUCCUGUUCUAUUUCAGUGUCUUGUGCUCCUCAGUCACACUUUGUUAGUGAAAUUUGGUUAUUACAAGAUUGUCUUAUUUUCUUUCUACCUGGAAGGAACGGCUGCAAUUCUCAUGCUCGCUCUGGGUCGAGAAUAUUACUAUUUAUUGGCUAUUUAUCUCACUGUCAACAUGGUGAUGGUUCAAGCAUCCUUCAGUCUGUUUAAUCUACCAUUGGCUGAUAUUGUUGAUGCAGAUUUAAAGAAACAUAAAAGAAAAUCUCCGCUCUCAUCCAUGGUCUUUGGAACGAACGCUCUCUUCACAAAGCCGGCUCAGUCCUUAGCUCCGAUGCUUGUGGUUUCUGUACUAAAUCAAUUUGGCUUCGCGGAUCUGAAUAGUAAAGCCGUCAAUCCUGACUCCAG